GCCGGUGUGGCUCAGUGGAUAGAGCAUCGGUCUGCAGACCAAAGGUUCCUGGGUUUGAUUCCCAUCAAGGGCA
rnacentral:tRNA from 1 species